rnacentral:rRNA from 1 species
UACAGAGGUCCCAAGCGUUGUUCGGAUUCACUGGGCGUAAAGGGUGCGUAGGCGGUCGGGUAAGUCUGAUGUGAAAUCUCACAGCUUAACUGUGAAACUGCAUUGGAUACUAUUCGGCUUGAGAGUUGGAGGGGGGACUGGAAUUCUUGGUGUAGCAGUGGAAUGCGCAGAUAUCAGGAAGAACACCCGUGGCGAAGGCGGCUCUCUGGAACGCAACUGACGCUGAGACGCGAAAGCGUGGGGAGCAAACAGG